rnacentral:rRNA from 1 species
UGUCCUAAUUAUUAUAUUUAUUAAUUGGUUUAUUUUUAAAUUAAGGGAAAUGGUUUUUAUUAUUUUAGGAAAGAAUUUUAUAUAAUUAAAGUUUAUUAGUAUUGUGAAAGAAAUUAUAAAUUUAUUUACUAGAAAAAUUUAUUUUUUGUACCUUGUGUAUCAGGGUUUAUUAAAUUUUGAUUAUUUAUUUAAUGGUCUCGAAUUUAAAAGAGCUAUAAUUUUAUUUUUUUAAUGUAAUAUAAUUAUUAUUAAUAUUGUUAUAGAUGUAAUAUGCUAUUCGUUUUUAAAUAUAUCUAGUUUUUUAAGAAUUGAAUUUAAUUCAGUUAUUAUUUAAUAAUUUUUAAUUUUUUGAAUAUUUUAUUAUUAAUAAUUAAUGUCUUAGGGGAUAAGCUCAAAGAUAAAUUUUUAUUUUUUGUAUUGAUUAUUUAAUUUUUAGGGUUAAAAAUUUUCAGUUUAGGGUGUUAUAAUUAAUUAAAUUGAAUUUAAUAUUUUUAUUUUAAAAUAAAUGUUUUAUUAAAAAAUUAAUUUUAAUUGUAUUUGUUAUUUUAUAAUAAUAAAAUUAGUAUAAUUUAUUUGUAUAUAUAUAUAUAAAUAUAAGUUUGUUUGAAGGAACUUGGCAAUAAUUUGUUUCCCACCUGUUUAUUAAAAACAUGGCCUUUUGAGUAUGAUUUAAGGUCUGGCCUGCCCCAUGACAAUUUUAAAUGGCCGCGGUAUUUUGACUGUGCAAAGGUAGCAUAAUCAUUAGUUUUUUAAUUGAAAGCUUGUAUGAAAGGUUUAUUGAGGUAGCAUCUGUCUCCAAAUUAUUUAUUAAAAAUUUAUUUUUAAGUGAGAAAGCUUAAAUUUUUUUAAAAGACGAGAAGACCCUAUAGAGUUUUAUAAUUUUCUAAAAUAGGAGGAUAUGGGAUAUUUAAUUUGUUUGAAGAAAUUAUUUAGUUGGGGUGACUAGAAAAUUAAAAUAACUUUUUUUUAUUUAAACCAUUAAUUGAUGACUAUGAGAUCCUUAAAUGAGAAUAUAAGAGUAAACUACCUUAGGGAUAACAGCGUAAUGAUUUUUUAGAGUUCAAAUUAAAAGAAAAGCUUGCGACCUCGAUGUUGGAUUAAAAUUUAUUUUUGGUGAAGGAGCUAAAUAAUUAGGUCUGUUCGACCUUUAAAAUUUUACAUGAUCUGAGUUUAAACCGGCGUGAGCCAGGUUGGUUUCUAUCUUUAAAAUUUUUUAAUAAAUCAGUACGAAAGGACCUUUUAUUAAAUUAAUAAUUUUAUAUUGAAUGUUAA